rnacentral:rRNA from 1 species
GACGAACGCUGUUGGCGUGCCUAACACAUGCAAGUCGAGCGAAGCGAGUACUACGGUACGAACUUAGCGGCGGACGGGUGAGUAACGCGUGGACAAUCUACCCUGUAGACUGGGAUAACACCUCGAAAGGGGUGCUAAUACCGGAUAAUGUCGAGAAGCGGCAUCGCUUUUCGAAGAAAGGAGAGAAUCCGCUAUAGGAGGAGUCCGCGUCCCAUUAGCUAGUUGGGGAGGGUAACGGCCCACCAAGGCGACGAUGGGUAGCCGGCCUGAGAGGGUGAACGGCCACACUGGAACUGAGACACGGUCCAGACUCCUACGGGAGGCAGCAGUGGGGAAUAUUGUGCAAUGGGGGAAACCCUGACACAGCAACGCCGCGUGAGCGAAGGAGGCCUUCGGGUUGUAAAGCUCAAUAGUAUGGGAAGAUAAUGACGGUACCAUACGAAAGCCCCGGCUAACUACGUGCCAGCCGCCGCAGUAACAC